rnacentral:rRNA from 1 species
GACCGAGGGGGCAAGCGUUGCUCGGAAUUACUGGGCGUAAAGGGCGCGUAGGCGGGAUGGCAAGUCGGUCGUGAAAUCCUUCGGCUCAACCGAAGAACGUCGAUCGAUACUGCUGUUCUUGAGGGUUGCAGAGGAGACUGGAAUUCCCGGUGUAGCGGUGAAAUGUGUAGAGAUCGGGAGGAACACCGGUGGCGAAGGCGGGUUGCUGGGCUGACACUGACGCUGAGGCGCGAAAGCUAGGGGAGCGAACGGG